UUUUUUUUUUUUUUUUUUUUUUUUUUUUGGUGAUUAUUUAAACCUCAGUACGAUGUGGUUAGGAUCCUCAGAUAACAGUCAGGCUUUGCAGUAAUCGAGAAGAGAGAGCAGUGUGAUGUGGCCCCGACUCUCAUCCAGGAUCAUCUGUGAGAACCCCUGAAGAGGACGCAAAGGAAGGACACCACGUUUUGUGAGCAAACGAAUGUGGAGACAGGACGCCAAAAGUGAACUCUGCUCACGCUGAUGGAAACAAUGGAAUAAAAUUGGAAAAGCAGCAUGGACGUGGAAUAAAGGAUAUCUCAGAGGCAGGCCAAGGGCUUUGGAUGUUCUGCCAACUCUGAAAUCUGCCUCCUGUGGAUGUGGUGCUGAUAAUGCUCUAACCCAAUGCUCAGCAGAGGUACGUACACGCAUCAAUACGUGCUAGGAAACUGCAGGGAUUUUACACCAGGCAUAUCGUCUCGUCCUGUAACAGCGACUGCUGGGUUUCUCUCAGGCGCGUGUAAUUUUAUAGCAGGGACCGACCGACCGACCAAUCAAAAACGUCCUUAUUUUAUUUCACUAAAACUUAAACGUUAUCAUCACGGCAGGCUGAAGAGAGGUAUUGUAACGCGAGCUUCUCCGGGCUUUGCUACAUUUCUCAUACAUUUCUCACGUCUAUCCAACCAUCAUGCUUAUUAAUACACCGCCUUUUGAUCCUGAAUACACCGCUUCACCUUUCAGUCAGGGUUUCCGGUUUCGAUCCAGCGUGACGUCGUAGGUCACCGAAGCCUCACGAUUUUCCAGUCGAACUUUUUCCCCUCCCAGACGUGUUAAAAACGAUUCGCAGUUUGAACAGCGUGACAUUUAAUACCACCCUUGAAAAUCAUGACAAAUAUACACGUGACAUUAUCAUUGCCAGAUUUGUCCCUGCAGAGCGGAGGAGUUCAUGACGCCAAGUGGCGUCUUGCUGUCGUUAGUUUUAAUGACGUGACACGUAUCGACACGCAUAUUUAACACCUGACUUUUCUUUUUGUCUUUUUUUUUUCCUUUCUUUCUUUUUUUUUUUUUUAGUUUUUAAAAUCCGUGCUAUUUUUCUCCGUUUGGAAGUUGACGUGUGCCUGCAUGCCGUUUGAGCUAUUUAAUUAGAAUGCAACGUCAUCACUGUUGUACAGAACUAGUCCAUCGGCGUAAAAGUAAUCUGACGUGAUCUGACGUUUCGAGUGGAGCGCGGUUUUAUCUGUCGACAUCUGGACACGUGUUUCUCGCUAUAGUGGAACUAACGAUGCAAAAGCAACGCGCGUAGAAAUCCGGUAAUGUUAUUAGGUUCUGAAAACGGUCGCAUACUUUGGAGCGGCGACAGAGGCCGAUGCUAAAUAAAGCAACGUGAAGAAAGGUCAUAGCUGACCGCUUUUCUCCGGUGCGGACGUGCAUAUUAAACACCCCGUAAUGAGCGGCGAUUACGAGAUCCUCACUUUGUUAACGCUGCAGAAAUAGAGGCUUCACAGAUGUGCCAUGCGAUUUCAGCAUAUUCGUGUAAUGUUAAACACAUGCCGUUUCUUUCCCAGGCCGGCUUUCGAAAUCAAAAUCGCUGCUUUUUUUAACGCUCGCAAUUACCGCCCGUGGUCCCGACUGGGAAACGUGCUCGAGCAGACGCUUUUGUUAAGUCUCGCGAGUUGUGCGAGGGAUCCUGAGAGGGAGU
ensembl:lncRNA